rnacentral:rRNA from 1 species
AUUGAACGCUGGCGGCAGGCCUAACACAUGCAAGUCGAACGGUAACAGGAAGCAGCUUGCUGCUUCGCUGGCGGGUGGCGGACGUGUGAGCAAUGUCUGUGAAGCUUCCUGAUGGAUGGCGUUCACUACUGGAAACGAUAACUGCUACCGCAUAAUGUCGCAAGGCCGAAGAGGGUCAGCUUCGGCGCUCUUGCCAUCGGCUAGGUCGGAUUAGCUAGUUGGUGGGGUAAGGGUUUACCAAGGCGACGAUCCGUAGCUGGUCUGAGAGGAUGAUCAGUCACACUGGAACUGAGACACGGUCCAGACUCCUACGGGAGGCAGCAGUGGGGAAUAUUGGACAAUGGGCGCAAGCCUGAUGCAGCCAUGCCGCGUGUAUGAAGAAGGCCUUCGGGUUGUAAAGCACUUUCAGUGGGGAGGAAGGGAAGAAAGUUAAUACCUUGGCUUAUUGACGUUACCAGCAGAAGAAGCACCGGCUAACUUCGUG